rnacentral:rRNA from 1 species
GUAGGUGGCAAGCGUUGUCCGGAAUUAUUGGGCGUAAAGCGCGCGCAGGCGGUUCUUUAAGUCUGAUGUGAAAGCCCACGGGCUCAACCGUGGAGGGUCAUUGGAAACUGGAGAACUUGAGUACAGAAGAGGAAAGCGGAAUUCCACGUGUAGCGGUGAAAUGCGUAGAGAUGUGGAGGAACACCAGUGGCGAAGGCGGCUUUCUGGUCUGUAACUGACGCUGAGGCGCGUAAGCGUGGGGAGCAAACAGGAUUAGAUACCCUGGUAGUCCACGCCGUAAACGAUGAGCGCUAAGUGUUAGGGGGUUUCCGCCCCUUAGUGCUGCAGCUAACGCACUAAGCACUCCGCCUGGGGAGUACGGCCGCAAGGCUG